rnacentral:rRNA from 1 species
AGAGUUUGAUCCUGGCUCAGGAUGAACGCUGGCGGCGUGCUUAACACAUGCAAGUCGAACGAACCUUCGGGUUAGUGGCGGACGGGUGAGUAACGCGUGAGAAUCUGCCCUCAGGAGGGGGAUAACGGCUGGAAACGGCCGCUAAUACCCCAUAUGCCGAGAGGUGAAAUGAAUUUCGCCUGAGGAUGAGCUCGCGUCUGAUUAGCUAGUUGGUGUGGUAAAGGCUCACCAAGGCAUCGAUCAGUAGCUGGUCUGAGAGGAUGAUCAGCCACACUGGGACUGAGACACGGCCCAGACUCCUACGGGAGGCAGCAGUGGGGAAUUUUCCGCAAUGGGCGCAAGCCUGACGGAGCAACGCCGCGUGAGGGAUGAAGGCCUCUGGGCUGUAAACCUCUUUUAUCAAGGAAGAAGAUCUGACGGUACUUGAUGAAUAAGCCACGGCUAAUUCCGUGCCAGCAGCCGCGGUAAUACGGGAGUGGCAAGCGUUAUCCGGAAUUAUUGGGCGUAAAGCGUCCGCAGGCGGUCUUGAAAGUCUGUUGUUAAAGCGUGGAGCUCAACUCCAUUUCAGCAAUGGAAACUAGAAGACUAGAGUGUGGUAGGGGCAGAGGGAAUUCCCGGUGUAGCGGUGAAAUGCGUAGAUAUCGGGAAGAACACCAGUGGCGAAGGCGCUCUGCUGGGCCAUAACUGACGCUCAUGGACGAAAGCCAGGGGAGCGAAAGGGAUUAGAUACCCCUGUAGUCCUGGCCGUAAACGAUGAACACUAGGUGUCGGGGGAAUCGACCCCCUCGGUGUCGUAGCCAACGCGUUAAGUGUUCCGCCUGGGGAGUACGCACGCAAGUGUGAAACUCAAAGGAAUUGACGGGGGCCCGCACAAGCGGUGGAGUAUGUGGUUUAAUUCGAUGCAACGCGAAGAACCUUACCAGGGUUUGACAUCCUGCGAAUCCCUUGGAAACUUGGGAGUGCCUUCGGGAGCGCAGUGACAGGUGGUGCAUGGCUGUCGUCAGCUCGUGUCGUGAGAUGUUGGGUUAAGUCCCGCAACGAGCGCAACCCACGUCUUUAGUUGCCAGCAUUAAGUUGGGCGCUCUAGAGAGACUGCCGGUGAUAAACCGGAGGAAGGUGUGGAUGACGUCAAGUCAUCAUGCCCCUUACAUCCUGGGCUACACACGUACUACAAUGCUACGGACAAAGGGCAGCAAACUCGCGAGAGCUAGCAAAUCCCAUAAACCGUGGCUCAGUUCAGAUCGUAGGCUGCAACUCGCCUACGUGAAGGAGGAAUCGCUAGUAAUCGCAGGUCAGCAUACUGCGGUGAAUACUUUCCCGGGCCUUGUACACACCGCCCGUCACACCAUGGAAGUUGGCCACGCCCGAAGUCGUUACUCCAACCCGCAAGGGAGGAGGAUGCCGAAGGUGGGGCUGAUGACUGGGGUGAAGUCGUAACAAGGUA